GGAGAGUCUGUGGCUCAGUGGUAGAGCAUCAGCUUGACGUGUAGAAAGUCCCAAGUUCAAUCCUCAGCCUCUCCA
rnacentral:tRNA from 1 species